rnacentral:lncRNA from 1 species
UUUCUUUCUUCUUCAUUCUAUUUCAUUUCAGUCCUCUUUAUCUAUAUUUUCAAUUUCAAUUGUUUCUCUUUUUCCUUGCAUUCAUGCUACUUGUUUUAAGUUUUCCUUUUUGUCAUUUAGAAUUAGAGGUUUGAAAUGGCAAAUUCUGCUAAUUCUUAUUCUCUAUGCAUGCAGAUUAUGCUCCUGAGGUGAGUUGUCACUUGGCUUAUGUGACAAAGAAUGUUCGAGUUCCGGUGGUAGAAUAUCAAGGAGAUCAAAUCAGUAGAAAGGGUUGAUUUCAGAUUCUCCAAUUUCUAAGCCGCCCUUCAGGUACAUUGCACAUUCUUUUCACACCCUUUCAACUUUAGAUCCGUUUAUUGAAAAAAUAAUUUCAGUGUUCUACUUUUGUUUAAUUUAUUUAGCAGUUGUUUAAUAAUGGGAUAUAAACUCUGAAAAUAGUUCACCUCUAUAUUCAAUUUUUUAAUUGAUUUAUGUUUCUCCUAAUUUUGCAUUUGUAGCGACUUGGUGCCCACUACGGUGUUAAUUUAAGUACUUUUUUAUGGCAUUCGAUAUAGAAAUGUGGGUGUCUUAGCUUUUCUCUUUGCUGGCAAUAUAAACUGAACUAGGAUAUCCCACUUUGUCGUAGGCAUAAUAUAAACUUAUCUGAUACGGAUUAAUUGCUUUUGAUUCUACAUUUAUGGGUCAUAUCUGAAUUUGCCUAUUGAUUUUCUCAUUGUGGAUUAGCUUCGCUUGAUAUUCUGAUUGUGGUUUUCCCAAGGAUUAAGUACGCAUUUGGCUUUAGGUUAUUUUGGAAGUAUAUUUUUGGGGCAGUUGAAUUUUAUGAAUAUGUACUGCCUUUGCAAUAAAAUAGAAAUUUCAUUGUAUUUUGAUUUAAUUACUUGCAUACAUUAUUAAACUCUGAAGUAAUCUGCGUUGGACAGGAGAACCCAUGAAGAUAUGCACUUGUUCAAUAUAAUGUUGAAUCAAGAAAUCAGAUGGUUGUCAGCGCAGGUAUCUUCAUUUUCAUGGUUGCAGACAGAAUCACCAACAGCAUCAAAGAAAAUAUAAAAGGCAAGUCCUCUUAACAUUCAAAGUAUAAUUUUUCUCUGUUGAUGUGGGUGCAGUAUAAUGUAUAUUUUGUGGCGUCUUCUCUCUUGCAUAUAUUGUUAAUUUCUCUAUCUGUAUCCGAUGUAGCCUCUCUGUUUCUAGAGUUAUUUGUGCAAUCAUUCUUCUAAGUGUUGUUUUGAGGUGAUAACUAGCAAUAUAUCGCUUUUAAUAACUAUCGAAUACAAAUUAUUUCUUAGAAAAUAUUUUUCACCAAGCAUUUUUGAUGAUUUUCUUCAGAAAAGAUUCCAACAAAGUAUUCAAAUACUAUUAAAGUUUUCCAUUCAUUUGUUCCGGCGACACGAAAUAAGAAUGUUGUUUCAACCCUGCAGGAGCAUUUUUGGAAACUUUAUCACCUAUAAUAUCUUCUUAGUUCAUUCGAUGAUAAAUGAUUAAUUCAAGGUCAAAAGAUUUCUGCAUUAUUAAUCAUAGAUAUCAAACUACUACCUUUAUAUCUACGGUAGUGUUGCAGAUCAACAAAAUAAAACAAUCCUAAUUUUCUCCAUAUGAGAGAGCAUAUUUGGAGAUGAAGCUUUAUUGGAAUCAAAUCAAUCAGCCAUGUUCACCAUUAUUUAAGAAUAACAUUGUAUUUUUGUCUUCAAAUAUUUAAAAAACAAGGGAAUCUUGAAAAGUUUCAUAGCACAUUAAACAAAAAGAUGAUUUUUCUUGUUUCCAAAUACCAAAUUUCAAACAUUGAAAGGUGUAGAGUCAAGCUAAUCUCAGGAUUCAGAGCUUUGUAAUGGUUGCAAUUUAUGGUUAAAUGUGUAAAUUAUUGAAAUAAUUUUAUUUGUAUAACUUGGAUAAUUUUUACGUGUUGUUGACAAAGCUAUGAUGAUUGUUUCCCUCUAUUGGUAAUUCGUAUUUCUUCUUACCCUUUCCAUACAUUUUAAAGUUCCUCCCAAUAUAAAACAUGUGAUUGUAAUUAUUUUUUUGUGUUCUCUUGCGAAAAGGUUUUUUUUGAAGACAGAGCAUGGAAAGUGACCAUUUCAUGUAUUAGUACCACCAUUCUUCAGAAUAUCUGUCCUUACUUAUUGUUGAGAUACAAGAUAUUACAUGAUUUAGAUUUGUAUAUACU